CUAUGAUUCUAUGAUUUGUGCCUGUAACUCUUAGUGAAAUAAACAGAAAUUCAGAAUACAAAAAGAUUUUUACAUGGCAGAUGAUUUGAUAUGUAAGAAAUUUUGGAUGUCAAAAUUACCCUGACUUUGAGCAUUUUUGAACAUCAAAACCUGCCACUGAAUUCAGCUGAAGAAUUUGAUGUCCAUUUAUUUUGAAAAUCGGUUUAACAUUUGGAAGUAGAGAUGUGUGAAUAACACUUCAGCUCUGGCAACCGGAUAGGUGACAAAGUGCAAAAUUAAACAGUGCUACUGGAAAAUAUUGGAGAAGAACUUGAUCCUAUCCUAAAGCCACUUUUACUCAGACAUUUAAGUAGUCAGGGAGCCUUUGCCUUGGAGAAUGCACCUUUGAGUGUGCUCCUGAAUUCCACUUUAUAUUACAACUAAGCUGGGAAAUCCACAUUCUCUUCCUGAAACAUCUGUUAAGGUGCGAAUUUUGAAAAUAAAUGUGCAACUUGUUAAAACAACGUUAACAAUGUUAAAACAACAUUUUAAUUUUAAAAUGGUUCCUUGGCUAAAACCAGGGAAGAGUUUCUGGCAUUUGUUCUUUCCUCAUUCCUUGCCAACGCUUUUUUUUACACUGCUGGAUAACUGGUAUCAUCUUAAAAGUGUUGACGUUUCUUAUAUCAAAAUCCUUCACCUUGCAAUACUGUCAUUCUUUCAUAUAGUCAGGAAUUUAAUUAAUUAAUUAAUUUUAUCAUCUUUCCCAGUCUGGAUCUCCUGAUGCUAUUUAGUCACCUUUUAUUAUGACAAUAUUUACAAGACUUAACAUAAUAAUCACCUUAAAUGCAAAAU